rnacentral:rRNA from 1 species
CGAGUUUGAUCCUGGCUCAGGAUGAACGCUGGCGGCGUGCCUAACACAUGCAAGUCGAGCGGUAUAUACUGGAACGAAACUUCGGUCUAGAGAAGGUAUAGAGAGCGGCGGACGGGUGAGUAACGCGUAGGCAACCUGCCCCAUACAGAGGGAUAGCCUCGGGAAACCGGGAUUAAAACCUCAUAAUACGAAAGCUUCACAUGUUGCUUUCGUCAAAGAUUUAUCGGUAUGGGAUGGGCCUGCGUCUGAUUAGCUAGUUGGUGAGGUAACGGCUCACCAAGGCGACGAUACAGUAGCCGACCUGAGAGGGUAAUCGGCCACAUUGGAACUGAGACACGGUCCAAACUCCUACGGGAGGCAGCAGUGGGGAAUAUUGCACAAUGGGCGAAAGCCUGAUGCAGCAACGCCGCGUGAGCGAUGAAGGCCUUUGGGUCGUAAAGCUCUGUCCUUGGGGAAGAAAAAAAUGACGGUACCCAUGGAGGAAGCCCCGGCUAACUACGUG